GUUGUCGGUCGCUGUUGGUGUUGUCGGCGGGUUAAGACAGGUUAGGGUCGCUCGAUGAGCUGGCAACAGAGUAGAUUUUUGUGUUUCCUCUGAAGAAACCCGUGAUCGUCCUGAGCAUCGUACGCGGCAGCCGUGCUUAUGAUCGGCCGAUGGACCAGCAGCGAAGGAAAGUCGCCGCGUAUUCGAGGUUGAAUAUACGAUUUUUGGAAUUCUGCGCUGCACAUUCACGGUGUGAAUAUUUCGAUGUAGAAAAUAAUUGCAGCGUUUAAGUGUGUUAAAAAUAAAUUGUUCAUGGAAUUUUGUUUGGAAUAUCAGAAAUUGAAAGGACCUGUUCUCUGAGGAAACUGAGGUAUAAUCGCGAAUAAACGUUUUAAUGGAUGAAAAUAACGCGAUAAGCAAUAUCGUAUAACUUUUAAUUUUAGCAAAAUUUUAAGCAAUACUUGGUGGUAAAAUCGAAGGAAGCAAUCGAAUGUAUUCUGCUGUCGAUCAAAUUUAUCUAUUCUGCAAAAUACUCCCAGAUAACGAAAUCAAAAUUGGGACGUAAGACAUUUUAAAGACAAAUUUUUGCAAAAGACGUCUUAUGUCUUGAUUUUAAACUUCAUAUUAUGAAAUGUCAUGUCAUGUAAAUUUUAUUAUAUAAAUAUUUAUAUAAAAAUAUAUGUAUACUAAUUAUGUAAUAUAUAUAUAUAUAAAAUUAGUAUAUACAUAUAUAUACAUAUAUCAAAAUAUGCAUGCACGCACAAUUAAUUAACUGCAUUCAUGCAAUUAUAUUGCAUUAUUAUAGUUUUGAUUCUUAUAUAUAUAUUGCAGCUUCGCUGCAACUGCAUCUGCAACCGCAACGUCCAUCUAUAGCCUCGUUAAUUAUUCUUCAAUCGUUGAUAGAUAUAUAGGAAAUUUCGAUCUUCUUCUACAAUUUAUUUUAUGCGUUACUUAGCAUUCAUCAGUGUCGUUUACAAAGUCUGAAAAAUUUUCAUUUAUUACAUAAUAGUAUGGCGCUUUGAAAUUAGUAAAACUAUAAGUAUUGUAAUAGCAGAUUAUGCGAAUUAAAACAGAACAUAUGUAUUAUUAAAAAAUAAUAAUUAAA